rnacentral:rRNA from 1 species
GACAGAGGGUGCAAACGUUGUUCGGAAUUACUGGGCGUAAAGCGCGUGUAGGCUGCUCGGAAAGUCGGAUGUGAAAGCCCUGGGCUCAACCUAGGAAGUGCAUUCGAAACUUCUGAGCUGGAGUGCUGGAGAGGAAGGCGGAAUUCUCGGUGUAGAGGUGAAAUUCGUAGAUAUCGAGAGGAACACCGGUGGCGAAGGCGGCCUUCUGGACAGUAACUGACGCUGAGACGCGAAAGCGUGGGGAGCAAACGGG